rnacentral:tRNA from 2 species
GAGCGGUAGUUCAGUUGGUUAGAAUACCGGCCUGUCACGCCGGGGGUCGCGGGUUCGAGUCCCGU